rnacentral:lncRNA from 10 species
CCUAGAGGCUCUGUACUCUGCACAUAACCACCAGCAAAGUUUUGGAAAACACAGCAGCCAGGACCCAUCUCUGUAGUGACUUUGCAGACAUGUUUUGAGCGCCUGCUGUGUCUCAAGCCCUGUCCUAGGCACUGGAGAUGAGAUGAAGAAACGAUGAGUAGAGGCCUUGCUUACGUUUAUCCUGCAACUCAUGAUGAGGCUUACUCUGCAACUCCAGUGCUCGGCUUUUUACACAACAGAGUCUCUGUUGCCCAGGCUGGAGUACAGUCGCACGAUCUUGGCUCACUGCAACCUCUGCCUCUCAGGUUCGAGUGAUUCUUCUGCCUCAGCCUCCCAAGUUGCUGGGAUUACAGAAACGGGUAUGCAGGAGAUUAGAAGCCAGUGGGCAUGAGCGUGGCUGCCACCAGGUGAAUGCCUGUGCCCUGGCGUCCUGGGGCCCAGAGGACCGGGAGCUUCCAUCAAGAGGCUGCCUCCCAGCACCAAGGCCAGAGAGUGGCCAGGGGAGGCUAAGUACAGGGAUUUCUCAGAAUGGUGGAAGGAGCUCAGCCCAGCCUUGCCCAAGAUGUAUUGCAGGGGAAUCUAUGGAGUUUUGCUCUCGUUGCCCACGCUGGAGUGCAAUGGCAUGAUCUCAGCUCACUGCAACCUCCGCUUCCCAGGUUCAAGCGAUUCUCCUGCCUCAGCCACCCAAGUAGUUGGGAUUACAGGUGUGUGCCACCAUGCCUGGCGACUUUUGUAUUUUCAGUAGAGAUGGGGUUUCACCUUGUUGAUCAGGCUGGUCUCAAACUCCUGACCUCAAGUGAUCCACCCACCUCGGCCUCCCAAAGUGCUGGGAUUACAGGCGAGAGCCACCGUGCCCGGCCAUGACCUUCUUUAGUUCUUUGACCAUAUUUAAAAUGGCUGAGGUGAAGUCUCUGGGACAUUUUAGCCAUACCAAGAAUCAUUAGAAGAUGCAAGCUGGAAAAAAGAAGGUCCCAGUUUUGGUUUUGAACCCUUCAUGUUGCAGCAAAUGUGAAUCUCCUACAGAUGGGUUUGGGGACUUACCUGUUCAAAUAGCAGCCCGGUGUCCUCUGUGGGUGGGGGGAGGUUUGUCUGUCCUUUCAUUCUAGUAAAUCCACCAUCCUCUGCACGAGAGCCAGGAGAAUCCACAUCACUUCAAAAGAGCCCCCAAAUCCUUACUACGUACUACAGCCUCCUUUCGAAUGUUCCUGGUUGAGAGGGAGAUCAAUUGCAUUAUUUACAAGUCAAAAAAUUUUGUAUCAAACUUCCUAUGAGCUUGGGCACUCAUGGCCUAUGGAGGCCCACCCAGACGCAGCCCCGCCAUCAUGCUUUUUCGUUGUUUUGUGGAUGUACCCAGGGCUAUUUACACACUCUUUCAUUAAAAGGCUUAUUUUUAUAUUUAAAAUGUUCU